AUUAACGCUAGCGGCAGGCAUAAUACAUGCAAGUUGAACGGUAGCACAGGUAGCAAUACUGGGUGGCGAGUGGCGCACGGGUGCGUAACACGUAUGCAACCUACCCUAUACAGGCGAAUAACCUUUAGAAAUGAGGGCUAAUACGCCGUAGUAUUACAGAUGGGCAUCUAUUUGUAAUUAAAGAUUUAUCGGUAUAGGAUGGGCAUGCGUCCCAUUAGUUAGUUGGUAAGGUAACGG
rnacentral:rRNA from 1 species